CCUACGGGAGGCUGCAGUGGGGAAUAUUGGACAAUGGGGGGAACCCUGAUCCAGCCAUGCCGCGUGUGUGAAGAAGGCCCUCGGGUUGUAAAGCACUUUCAGUGAGGAAGAACGCCUGGUGGUUCAUACCCAUCAGGAAAGACAUCACUCACAGAAGAAGCACCGGCUAACUCCGUGCCAGCAGCCGCGGUAAUACGGAGGGUGCGAGCGUUAAUCGGAAUUACUGGGCGUAAAGCGCGCGUAGGUGGCUUGAUAAGCCGGUUGUGAAAGCCCCGGGCUCAACCUGGGAACGGCAUCCGGAACUGUCAAGCUAGAGUGCAGGAGAGGAAGGUAGAAUUCCCGGUGUAGCGGUGAAAUGCGUAGAGAUCGGGAGGAAUACCAGUGGCGAAGGCGGCCUUCUGGACUGACACUGACACUGAGGUGCGAAAGCGUGGGUAGCAAACAGGAUUAGAUACCCUUGUAGUC
rnacentral:rRNA from 1 species